AUUCAGCUGACGAAUCUCAAAUAGAACGAAAUACGUGUCCUGAAU
rnacentral:hammerhead_ribozyme from 1 species